rnacentral:ncRNA from 1 species
UGCCUGCUGCACCUCUAUCACUGCAGGCACUCGGCCAUGCUGUGGGCAUGAAGCGCAAAACAAGGCAAUGCCUUAGACGUUCAUCGUCAAGGGUAUGGUGUGAGGUCGGGUUAAAUGCCC